rnacentral:rRNA from 1 species
UGGGGAAUAUUGCACAAUGGGCGCAAGCCUGAUGCAGCCAUGCCGCGUGUGUGAAGAAGGCCUUCGGGUUGUAAAGCACUUUCAGCGAGGAGGAAGGUGGUGAGCUUAAUACGCUCAUCAAUUGACGUUACUCGCAGAAGAAGCACCGGCUAACUCCGUGCCAGCAGCCGCGGUAAUACGGAGGGUGCAAGCGUUAAUCGGAAUUACUGGGCGUAAAGCGCACGCAGGCGGUUUGUUAAGUCAGAUGUGAAAUCCCCGGGCUCAACCUGGGAACUGCAUUUGAAACUGGCAAGCUAGAGUCUCGUAGAGGGGGGUAGAAUUCCAGGUGUAGCGGUGAAAUGCGUAGAGAUCUGGAGGAAUACCGGUGGCGAAGGCGGCCCCCUGGACGAAGACUGACGCUCAGGUGCGAAAGCGUGGGGCAGCAAACAGGAUUAGAUACCCUGGUAGUCCACGCUGUAAACGAUGUCGAUUUUGGAGGUUGUGCCC